ACGGUCGCAAGAUUAAACUCAAAUGAAUUGACGGGGGCCCGCACAAGCGGUGGAGCAUGUGGUUUUAAUUCGAUGCAAUGCGAAGAACCUUUACCUACUCUUGACAUCCAGAGAACUUCUCCAGAGAUGGAUUGGUGCCUUCGGGAACUCUGAGACAGGUGCUGCAUGGCUGUCGUCAGCUCGUGUUGUGAAAUGUUGGGUUAAGUCCCGCAACGAGCGCAACCCUUAUCCUUGUUUGCCAGCACGUAAUGGUGGGAACUCCAGGGAGACUGCCGGUGAUAAACCGGAGGAAGGUGGGGACGACGUCAAGUCAUCAUGGCCCUUACGAGUAGGGCUACACACGUGCUACAAUGGCAUAUACAGAGGGCAGCGAGACCGCGAGGUGAAGCGAAUCCCAGAAAGUAUGCCGUAGUCCGGAUUGGAGUCUGCAACUCGACUCCAUGAAGUCGGAAUCGCUAGUAAUCGUGGAUCAGAAUGCCACGGUGAAUACGUUCCCGGGCCUUGUACACACCGCCCGUCACACCAUGGGAGUGGGCUGCACCAGAAGUAGAUAGCUUAACCUUCGGGAGGGCGUUUACCACGGUGGGUUCAUGACUGGGGUG
rnacentral:rRNA from 1 species